AGAGUUUGAUCAUGGCUCAGAUUGAACGCUGGCGGCAGGCCUAACACAUGCAAGUCGAACGGUAACAGGAAGCAGCUUGCUGCUUUGCUGACGAGUGGCGGACGGGUGAGUAAUGUCUGGGAAACUGCCUGAUGGAGGGGGAUAACUACUGGAAACGGUGGCUAAUACCGCAUAACGUCGCAAGACCAAAGAGGGGGACCUUCGGGCCUCUUGCCAUCAGAUGUGCCCAGAUGGGAUUAGCUAGUUGGUGAGGUAACGGCUCACCAAGGCGACGAUCCCUAGCUGGUCUGAGAGGAUGACCAGCCACACUGGAACUGAGACACGGUCCAGACUCCUACGGGAGGCAGCAGUGGGGAAUAUUGCACAAUGGGCGCAAGCCUGAUGCAGCCAUGCCGCGUGUAUGAAGAAGGCCUUCGGGUUGUAAAGUACUUUCAGCGGGGAGGAAGGUGUUGUGGUUAAUAACCACAGCAAUUGACGUUACCCGCAGAAGAAGCACCGGCUAACUCCGUGCCAGCAGCCGCGGUAAUACGGAGGGUGCAAGCGUUAAUCGGAAUUACUGGGCGUAAAGCGCACGCAGGCGGUCUGUCAAGUCGGAUGUGAAAUCCCCGGGCUCAACCUGGGAACUGCAUUCGAAACUGGCAGGCUUGAGUCUUGUAGAGGGGGGUAGAAUUCCAGGUGUAGCGGUGAAAUGCGUAGAGAUCUGGAGGAAUACCGGUGGCGAAGGCGGCCCCCUGGACAAAGACUGACGCUCAGGUGCGAAAGCGUGGGGAGCAAACAGGAUUAGAUACCCUGGUAGUCCACGCCGUAAACGAUGUCUACUUGGAGGUUGUGCCCUUGAGGCGUGGCUUCCGGAGCUAACGCGUUAAGUAGACCGCCUGGGGAGUACGGCCGCAAGGUUAAAACUCAAAUGAAUUGACGGGGGCCCGCACAAGCGGUGGAGCAUGUGGUUUAAUUCGAUGCAACGCGAAGAACCUUACCUGGUCUUGACAUCCACGGAAGUUUUCAGAGAUGGAAUGGUGCCUUCGGGAACCGUGAGACAGGUGCUGCAUGGCUGUCGUCAGCUCGUGUUGUGAAAUGUUGGGUUAAGUCCCGCAACGAGCGCAACCCUUAUCCUUUGUUGCCAGCGAUUAGGUCGGGAACUCAAAGGAGACUGCCAGUGAUAAACUGGAGGAAGGUGGGGAUGACGUCAAGUCAUCAUGGCCCUUACGACCAGGGCUACACACGUGCUACAAUGGCGCAUACAAAGAGAAGCGACCUCGCGAGAGCAAGCGGACCUCAUAAAGUGCGUCGUAGUCCGGAUUGGAGUCUGCAACUCGACUCCAUGAAGUCGGAAUCGCUAGUAAUCGUGGAUCAGAAUGCCACGGUGAAUACGUUCCCGGGCCUUGUACACACCGCCCGUCACACCAUGGGAGUGGGUUGCAAAAGAAGUAGGUAGCUUAACCUUCGGGAGGGCGCUUACCACUUUGUGAUUCAUGACUGGGGUGAAGUCGUAACAAGGUAACCGUAGGGGAACCUGCGGUUG
rnacentral:rRNA from 1 species